GUACUGUGAGUGCUCACCUGAUUUUUAGCUCUUAGGAAGAUGCUUUUUUCUGUGUAGUUGUUUGUUAACUUAGUAUCCUUGUGGUAGGGGUAGGAGGAUGAUCUGUGGAGUUUUCUGUUCUGCCGUCUUGUCUCACCUCCCUCCUAAAAAAAUAUUCUUAAAUGAGAUUGUAAUGUUUAUAUGAACUUGCACGAAGACAGACGUCUUGUGCACUUGGUGAAAAAUGAGAUUCACACAUCUGUUUCUUAAAAUACCUUUUUAAUACAGAUAUAUUAAUAGUAGCAUUUCUAUAAAUUCUAGAGUUACUUAAUAGGAAUUUAUUAAUAUAGACUUACGUGUACACAUGUUUUAUAGAACAUCAUAUGAUCCUUCAAUUCUUAUAUCUGAGUUUAAGCUCUUAAUUUUUUUUUUUUUUUUUGUAAAUUGCCUGCUACUCUAUGGAGUGCAGUUUAGAGAAUGAGCCAAAAUUUGGUGGUAGGGUUUUGUUGGCAGUUAAUUUGUUUUUAUGUAUUUCUGAGAUUUUAGAUUGAAAUACUAAAAGCUUCCAUAGUCUUUUAUUUCCUAGUUUAAAUUUCUUAUAUUUACUUAUAACUAAACCUUUUAUAUUUUUGUUUAGUUUUUAUUUGACACAUAUUAAACUCCUUCUACCAUACAGGGAAAUAAGUUUUAUUUUUAUAGGAAUGUUUAAUAGCCAUUAGGUGUUUAGUUCUUUUUAUCAGAGGAUAUUAUACUAUCCUCAGUUGUCUUUACAGUUUUCAUGCUAGCAAAGGAGUUGGUUACUCUGCUCAUUUUGUUGGCAACUGUUUUAUAGUCACAUCAUCGAAGUCCAAAGGAAAAUGUUUUCAGCAUUGUGUGAAAUAUGAUUUUCAACCACGUAAGGUAGGUAAAAGUAAAUAUUUUCAUAACUCACUUGUUAUGACAGAAUUCUUAACUAUCCUUUUAUGACCUCUGUAGUAUUCUCUUUCACUGGAUUUCCUAUGCUUUUAAUGGUUUUCUCUUAUCCUUGUUUGCAUUUUCUUUUUACUUUUAUGUCUAAUUUUUGUCUUCUGUAAGGUCAGUGCUUUGAUCUCUUGCGUGUAUUUCUCUUACAUUCUCUCAUUAUCUCAGUCUCAUCUGUUCUAUGGCAUUCUUUCAAUAGAUACUUAUUAUUUACUGAGAAUUGGACACCAUUGUAGGCACUAGGGAGUUAUAAAUCUUUGCCUCUUUUUUAAAAAAGUUAAAUGUUAAACCCCCAGAUUAAGCAAUGCACAGAUAGUUUUGUUGGGGAGAUUCACCUAAUCCUAGUAGUUCUGAAUCUUGUUUCCUAAGAGUGGAGGUUUUGUUAAUUUCUGAUGCUUUAAUAAUGCUGGCUUCAAGGAUUUGAAUGUUGCUGUACUGUUAGUUUUGGCUCGUAAAAUAUGUCUUUACUUAAUAUCCCAAAUAAUAGCAAAAACAAGGUCAAAACACAUUUUAAAAACUGCUGUAAAGAGAAAAUGCAGAGAAAUGUGCAACUGUAUAAUUAGAAUUAUAAGAGAUAAUUCAUUCAUAAUCGGGUGGCAUUUUCUAGAGAGAUUUUCCUGCCUGUGUACCGGACUCCAUCUUUGUGUCAGAGUAACAAACCAUCUGAAAGUCCAGAUGAAAGAAAACAAGGACAGAGUGCAUAGCAGUUCCCAUCUCACAUGUUUAAGGCUUUUUUGCCCUUCCAGGUUCAGGGUUCUUUCUUGGGUAUAUGACAGUGAGAUUGUCAACGUUUUAUAGGGCACACUGCCUCCUCCUAACAGAAAUAUCGCCUUACCCUUUGUGAUUAAUGGUACAAUCAUAAUAGAUAUGAUGAAUCCAAACGUGGUGAGGGGGAGGUCUUUAUAUCUUUUUCAUAUCUUUUUUGUUUGUUUUCUUGUAGCUUAUGAUCUGAUGUGUGUCUUGUCAUAUACAGAAAAA
rnacentral:lncRNA from 1 species